GACAGAGGGUGCAAACGUUGUUCGGAAUCACUGGGCGUAAAGGGCGCGUAGGCGGCUCAUGAAGGCUGUGGUGAAAGUCCGAGGCUCAACCUCGGAUCGGCCGUGGCGACUCGUGGGCUGGAGCACUGUAGAGGCGGGUGGAAUUUCGGGUGUAGCGGUGGAAUGCGUAGAGAUCCGGAAGAACACCAGUGGCGAAGGCGGCCCGCUGGGCAGUGGCUGACGCUGAGGCGCGACAGCGUGGGGAGCAAACAGG
rnacentral:rRNA from 1 species